AUCCUUGUGCCGAACGGUUUGAAUGUCUCUGCUUGGAAAUUUGAUGUCAUUUCCAAACAAGACAGAUAUACUGUGGUUUACAUUCGGAAUGAUACCUGCGAUUCUAAGACCCGUGAAGUAACGGAACCGCGGAUCCUGUCGGAAAACCUUUAACCUGGCAGUUAUCAAAUCAGGGUUUUUGAUAUACGCCAUGGUCUGUGGAGUGAGCCGAACACUAACUUUCAAGUUGUCUAUAAACGAAAGUUCAGCACGUAACUUCAGUGUGGUGGCUACCAGAUCAUCUUACGUGGUCUGCCCCAUUUGAUUCUAUCUACACCAAUUACGUCACUCGGCGGUAUAACAUUAUUAAUCUAAUAUAUUAAUUACUUCAAAUUGUCAUUUCUUAUUCUUUCAUAUAUCGUGCGGCUGAUAAUGUCAUUUGGAGUGAAUUGAGUUCAGUCAUCAGUACGGAUAAAGAAAAGAAACAACUGACUGUUGGCGAACGUUACGUCGUUUUAAUUAAUUCUGCUAGUCUCUCAGUAGAGAGUGCUUCAUCCAUCAAAGAAAGCCAAUCCAGGUAUCAGUCAGGGUCGGUGGAACUAAAAUCGGCGAUUGAUUGACUUCAUUGAGCGGUAGCAUUCGCAGCUGCCAACUGAAGUAAUUACUCAUUUUAUUUUGUGAGUGCGUAUGAAUUGUCUUGAUGACGCGUUGUCUUUUGACUUUAACAUUAGGGUGGAAUUUCA